rnacentral:rRNA from 1 species
UACAGAGGGUGCGAGCGUUGUUCGGAAUUACUGGGCGUAAAGCGCACGUAGGCGGCCUUGCAAGUUAGAGGUGAAAGCCCGGGGCUCAACUCCGGAAUUGCCUUUAAAACUGCAUCGCUAGAAUUGUGGAGAGGUAAGUGGAAUUCCGAGUGUAGAGGUGAAAUUCGUAGAUAUUCGGAAGAACACCAGUGGCGAAGGCGACUUACUGGACACAUAUUGACGCUGAGGUGCGAAAGCGUGGGGAGCAAACAGG